rnacentral:rRNA from 1 species
GACGAACGCUGGCGGCGUGCUUAACACAUGCAAGUCGAACGGAAAGGCCCUGCUUUUGUGGGGUGCUCGAGUGGCGAACGGGUGAGUAACACGUGAGUAACCUGCCCUUGACUUUGGGAUAACUUCAGGAAACUGGGGCUAAUACCGGAUAGUAGCUCCUGCUGCAUGGUGGGGGUUAGAAAGUUUCGGCGGUUGGGGAUGGACUCGCGGCUUAUCAGCUUGUUGGUGGGGUAGUGGCUUACCAAGGCGUUGACGGGUAGCCGGCCUGAGAGGGUGACCGGCCAAAUUGGGACUGGGAUACGGCCCAGACUCCUAAGGGAGGCAGCAGUAAGGAAUAUUGCACAAUGGGCGGAAGCCUGAUGCAGCAACGCCGCGUGCGGGAUGACGGCCUUCGGGUUGUAAACCGCUUUCGCCUGUGACGAAGCGUGAGUGACGGUAAUAGGUAAAGAAGCACCGGCUAACUACGUG